rnacentral:rRNA from 1 species
UACGAAGGGGGCUAGCGUUGUUCGGAAUCACUGGGCGUAAAGGGCGCGUAGGCGGCUUUGUAAGUCGGGGGUGAAAGCCUGUGGCUCAACCACAGAAUUGCCUUCGAUACUGCAUGGCUUGAGACCGGAAGAGGUUAGUGGAACUGCGAAGUGUAGAGGUGAAAUUCGUAGAUAUUCGCAAGAACACCAGUGGCGAAGGCGACUCACUGGCC